rnacentral:rRNA from 1 species
UACGUAGGCAGCGAGCGUUGUUCGGAGUUACUGGGCGUAAAGGGUGUGUAGGCGGUUGUUUAAGUUUGGUGUGAAAUCUCCCGGCUCAACUGGGAGGGUGCGCCGAAUACUGAAUGACUAGAGUGCGGGAGAGGAAAGUGGAAUUCCAGGUGUAGCGGUGAAAUGCGUAGAUAUCUGGAGGAACACCGGUGGCGAAGGCGGCAUCCUGGACCAACACUGACACUGAGGAGCGAAAGCCAGGGGAGCAAACGGG